AUUGAACGCUGGCGGCAUGCCUUACACAUGCAAGUCGAACGGUAACAGGUCUUCGGAUGCUGACGAGUGGCGAACGGGUGAGUAAUACAUCGGAACGUGCCUAGUAGUGGGGGAUAACUACUCGAAAGAGUGGCUAAUACCGCAUGAGAUCUACGGAUGAAAGCAGGGGAUCGCAAGACCUUGUGCUACUAGAGCGGCCGAUGGCAGAUUAGGAAGUUGGUGGGAUAAAAGCUUACCAAGCCGACGAUCUGUAGCUGGGCUGAGAGGACGAUCAGCCACACUGGGACUGAGACACGGCCCAGACUCCUACGGGAGGCAGCAGUGGGGAAUUUUGGACAAUGGGCGAAAGCCUGAUCCAGCAAUGCCGCGUGCAGGAUGAAGGCCUUCGGGUUGUAAACUGCUUUUGUACGGAACGAAAAGCCCCGGGUUAAUACCCUGGGGUCAUGACGGUACCGUAAGAAUAAGCACCGGCUAACUACGUGCCAGCCGCCGCGGUAACAC
rnacentral:rRNA from 1 species